rnacentral:rRNA from 1 species
UACGUAGGGGCGAGCGUUAUCCGGAAUUACUGGCGUAAAGCGCACGCAGGCGGUUCGCCAAGUUUGGAGUGACAGUUGUCGGCUCAACCGACAAAGGACUUCAAAAACUGGUGAACUUGAGGACGAGAGAGGAACAUGGAACUCCAGGUGAUAGUAGUGAAAUGCGUAGAUAUCUGGAAGAACACCAAUGGCGAAGGCAAUGUUCUGGCUCGUUUCUGACGCUCAGGUGCGAAAGCCAGGGGAGCGAACGGG